GGUGAUAGCUCAGUAGUAUAGCAUCUGUUUGGCAUGCAGAAGGUCCUAGGUUCGAUUGCCAGCAACGCCU
rnacentral:tRNA from 1 species